rnacentral:rRNA from 1 species
CAAAAACAUAGCCUGUUGUUAAUAUAAUAGGUGAUUUCUGCUCAGUGAUAAUUUUAACAGCCGCAGUACCCUGACUGUGCAAAGGUAGCGCAAUCAAUUGACUUUUAAUUGAAGUCCUGUAUGAAGAAUGAAUGAGGGUUAACUAUAUCAUUUUUAUAUAUAGAAAUUGCUUAGUAAGUGUAAAAACUUAUAUUAAAAAUAAUAGACGAGAAGACCCUGGAAAUUUUAAGAAUUAUGUUACGUAAGCUUUUUGUUGGGGCAACAAAGUAAAAUAAUAACUUACAAUAAUGACAUGAAAUUAUAUGGAACGAGAAAAUUACUCUAGGGAUAACAGCAUAAUUUAUAAGAGUUUGUGACCUCGAUGUUGGACUAGGAAGUUAAUGUUAAAAGAUAAUAACAUGCUC